rnacentral:rRNA from 1 species
ACGGGAGGCAGCAGUGGGGGAUAUUGGGCAAUGGGGGAAACCCUGACCCAGCAACGCCGCGCGAAGGAAGAAGGCUUUCGGGUUGUAAACUUCUUUUAUCAGGGACGAAGAAAAUGACGGUACCUGAAGAAUAAGCCACGGCUAACUACGUGCCAGCAGCCGCGGUAAUACGUAGGUGGCAAGCGUUGUCCGGAUUUACUGGGUGUAAAGGGCGCGUAGGCGGGAUGACAAGUCAGGUGUGAAAUCUAUGGGCUUAACCCAUAAACUGCACUUGAAACUGCCAUUCUUGAGUGUCGGAGAGGUAGAUGGAAUUCCUAGUGUAGCGGUGAAAUGCGUAGAUAUUGGGAGGAACACCGGUGGCGAAGGCGGUCUACUGGACGAAAACUGACGCUGAGACACGAAAGUGUGGGGAGCAAACAGGAUUAGAUACCCUGGUA